UAUUUUAAGUGCAGAUCAACUUUUACUAGCACAACUUAUGAAUGAUACAUAGAACAGGCAUACCAUCUGAUACACUUACCAUACUGUGCAAUCCUGUGAAAAUUUGAAAAUCUAGCUGGUAUAUUUAGGUGCACUGGGUGGUUAACCUACCACCCUAGAUGUUUCUAUGAGACAGCUGUCACCUUUUUAUUUUGUUUCUUUCUUUCCCCAUUUAUUCUCGCAUGUUCUCUCUCUCACACUUCUCUUUUCUGCCAACUCCUCCUUUCCGUUAGUGGCCACUACUGCCUCCUCCUCACUCCUGAGUUGUUGCCACUUCCUCCUUUUCUCCACCACAUUGUUGCCGAACGGAUAUGCCCAAGGACCUGUAUCGGUUCCUGACCGAGAAUUAGAAACUUAUAUGCAUAUAUACUUAUAUAUGUGUAGGUAUAUAUACAUUUAUAUAUGUGUGUAUGUGCACUUGUGUGUAUAUAGAGGAUGAAUCAUAGUGUUGACUUCAAUGCUUAGAUUUGGUGUUCCGCCACAAAAAUUGUGACUACAUGAUGGAGUAAGAGUGAGGAUAUUGGAUCUGUAUUAAAUUCAUCUGGAAAUGACCAGGCAACUAGAAUUGGUGAAUUUUCAGUUGAGCUUGAUCAAACUCACCAAUCUGAGCAAGAAUUUACUACCUGGGUGAUUCCUGUCGAUUCUUUGGCAGUGACGAAAAGAAGAAGCAAAGAAGAUGGAGAGAGAGGAAGUGGUGUGGAGUAGUAGUACCUCUAUGCCACCAUAAUCUCAGAAGAGCUUCUGCCGCUUGAAGCCUUGAACUAAUGUUGUUGUGCUACAGGCAGAGAUAACAAGAGAGGGGUGGGGUAGGGAUGCAGUGUUUGAGAGGGAAGGAAUUCAGCUGCCAUCACACUAGUUGAUUCUCCUGCAUGUGCACAAGAUAGUACUUGGGUCUCCAAGGAAGAAUUGAUUCUGUGCCAAAUGGCUUUUACAAUCCAGAGAUGCAAUUGGGGGGAUAGAGAUAUAAAGAUAAAAAAAAUUAAAUGAGAAGCG
rnacentral:lncRNA from 1 species